CAGACCUGUCCACAGGUCUGGUCUGGUCAAGCAGACCUGUCCACAGGUCUGGUCUGGUCAAGCAGACCUGUCCGCAGGUCUGGUCUGGUCUAGCUGACCUGUCCUGUGAACAAGUCUGCUUUAUCUAACUUGUCCUCAGGUCUGGUCUGCAGCAGUCCUAAAAAAGUAGACAUGAGGUCUGGUCUGCUAGGGAUUAAGUUAAAUUACAGGUCUGCUUAAUUGUUCCCAAGUUAA
rnacentral:lncRNA from 1 species